ACUCGCAGGGCUCUCACUGCUCGCGGUGCGGCAGCCGCGCGCGGACUCCGCUGCGCCUCCGAGGGGGCCAGGCACGCGGUCAAGAUCUGUGGCCACUGGUUCCCAUGGUUUCGAGGCACCAUGAGGCACGCUGGCUCUUGGAAACUUUGGCUCUGGGCAGCACUUCUCCUGCUUCCUGCUUCCACUUCCGUGACGGUUAGGGACAAGCCAGAUUAAAUCUCUUAGUGGAAAUAGAUGUUUUCCCCAUUGACCUUGACAACGCACAUCGAGAAUGUCCAAAAUUACCUCAUGUUUUCAUAUGCAUAUUAGUCUAGAUAGCCUUUUAUUUCUCUCAUUGAUAGUUAAAAAUAUAAAUGUGAAUGUGCAUCUGUGUGUAUGUUUCUCCCUUUCCUCUUUAAAUUCUAAGUUAUUCACAUUAUAAGUAUGGAAACCCAUCACCAGUUAGGAAAGCAGGGAUGUACAUAAGGUUAAUUAGGAAAAGUGAAAAACUGAAUAGGAAAUAGGAAAGGAAAUGUAGUUUAAUUAUUGCCAGUUUUGUAGUGUCAGAUGAGGUGAACCAAAGACAACCAGUUGUGAGAGCACUUUUUAAACUAGAUAGAUAAUACUCACUUGCAACUGUUAAAUACCAACCUCAUAAAUAUUUCUGAAGGACUUGAAGGCAAUUUACUUCCACUUUAGAUUUUUUAAAAUGGUUAUGUGGCUAAUUUGAAAGACUUUUCUUGAACAUUGAAUAGGUGUUAAGUUCCUGAUGGAGAUCUACUUCGGUUACAAAGUUGCACUAGAUACAGUGAAAAGCCCUUUGCUAAGCAAAGAGAAACUCCAACGCUCUUUCUGUGCAAAGGAUGACUUGUGAUGUAUUCUGGCCAUGGUCCCAGGUGAAGAUGUGUUCUUAGACUGUGUGUCUUGUGCUUGGUCUUUUAAAUAUCUCUUUCAUAUUUUUUGCUAAACAGGUAUAAACACAUCCUAGUAGAGACUUUUGAGUUUAAAGCAUUCAGAAAAUAAAAACAAUCUCUUAUAAAGAUACAACACUUCUGAGCCUCUCAGUGUCUUGUCGGUCUUUACAGUUUUUUACUAAUUUCACAGGGUACAUUUCAUAAAUAAUCUACAUGAAAGUUUGAAUAUUCUAACACCAUACAAAUGAUGCCCUGUGGCUGUCAUACUUCUUUGGAGGGCAAAAAAAAACUUUCUUUCUUUCUUUUUUUUUAUUUUAUUUAUUUUUUCUUUUUUUUCAGAAAAAUCAGUAGUGGCUUAUGGCAAAAAGAAGUACAUAGGGCAGGGAGUUUACUCUGAUAAUGUUGCUACUCUUCUGAAUAUUUUUACGUCUCUUCCUUUUAAGAGAUGAGUAGGUAAUGCAAUUUGCUACUUAAUCAGAGGGGAUAGGACUUUUUUUUGGUUUGAAAGGAAAAUGAAUCAGUUUCUAGGUAUAAUGCUAGUGCAUAAUAACUGCUCCUGAUGGUAAUAAUGAUUUGAAGGAUCUGCAUAAAUGGUUUUCCAAUUUUAGUGUGAGCAAGAAUCAUCUGGAGUAUUGAUCUCUGAGCUCCACUGUUAUGCAAGAGAUCUUGGAGUGGGAUUCAGUAAUUUACAUCUUUAACCAGCAACCCAGGUGAAUCCAAUGCUCUAUGUCUGAGGAAAAUGGAGAAACUCUUCCUUUGGGAUAAUUCACUAUUUCCUUUUCAUUUAAAAUUUUUAUUUCUUGGCUUGUUAUCUUCCACCUUAUGCUACCAGGUACUUUUUAAUUAGUUAAUUAAUUUUGACUUUAAUGACUUUUGGGAGGGGGUGUAAGAACACAACAUCAGCUCUACCCUUUUAACAAUUUUCUAAGUGUAUAAUGUAGUAUUGUUCACUAUAGAUCUCUAGAACGGAAUCUUCUUGUAUAACUGAAACUUCCCCUUCUUGGGAUUCCCCUGAAUGUUCUUAUCUUGUAGCUUUGGUAUCUCACUUCUUGAAUCAGGUUACCUGGUGUGUGGGACAACCGAAAUGCGUAUAUUCUGGCCAAUGUAUUCUGCCAAAUUAAUCUUUCUGAAAGAUUUUCCCAAGAAUGUGAAUUCCAAAUUAAUCUGAAUGCUAACAAGAGUCACAUAAUGUGAAGCAUGAAGGGAAAUGAGGGAAGAAAAAAACGAAGAGUUGAUUUUUUUUAUCAGGCCAUUUGGUAGGAAGUGCUGGUGAAACACAGUAAAAGGUGCCAGGGAAAUGGCUUGACUUCAGGUAUCAUUUGCAUUAAUUGAAAAUUUCUGUGCAGCACUGUCAUAAGGACUGUUGGAGAGUAUGACAUGCCGGGCAUGGCCUGAUAGGGCUCUUCAUGUUUCUUGUGUGUCUGAUUCACAGCGCAAUUUCCCUUUUUAGUUUCCUCAUGUGCAGACCUGCGCGUGUGGUCACUAACCGUUAACCGGAGGGAAGUGAGUACAGCUAAAAAUAAAAUAUAACAAAUCAGAGGGAGAGGCUAGGGUUUCAACUCUGGAGUCUGUGAAGUUGUCAACAGUCUGCUGUUAAACUUAAAUAUACGAAGGAUAAGUUGAGUCUUUUAAUCGCUUUACUUAACUCCAUGGCAUGCUUAACGAUUACUUGCAAUCCUGGCCCAGUUGGGACAGAAUUCAAGAGUAAUGUGGAGGGAUUCAAUAACACCUUGACUGUUAAACUCUUGAAGCUAUUUAGAAUUUGUAGUUACAUAUUCUUUCAUCAAUUUGACUGUUAUGUUGAUAUUAUGAUAUAGGGCAUAUUUGCAUAUUUUUACACUGCAGAUAAACAAUCUGAAUGUGGCCAGUUCAGCUCAGUUGUCAAAGCAGGAGGGGAAGAGAGUUAUAUUAAUACAAAUAUAAAUCAUAAAGAUUGUCUCAAGACUUGCUUUCAUCAGUUUCUUAAAACCUUCUUCUAGGACAGAAGCUUAUGUAUCAUAAUGGUUCCUCUUCUCCACUUUGCUUAAUUUAAGGCAAAAGUACUGAGUUAUCACCAAAAGUAAUAAAGACAGAAAACAAGGUAAUGACUUGUAGCAAAAAAAGCCAGACUCAAUAAAAAGAGGUGACAGAAUGCCAUCCCUUCAGCUUAUGGUAAAUCUUUAGGUCAAGUGUAUGAUGAAAUUGAUUAUAAACUUAGGCCCCAAAUUAUACAUCCUUUUAAACUAGUUUUCUAUUGAUUGCAAGGAAAAACUAUUUUUCUGAAAUUUGGCUUUUACCUAUUGACCCACACUGCACUCUUAAACUCAGAAUAGAAGGUACACUAUCAUGUAGAGAAUUUUAUUUUGUGUCGUGAAAAAUUCUUCAUGUUCACUAUGGUACCAUAUAAGAGUCCUACUACUGACAGAUGUACUUUAUAACUCCAACAUUUUUAGGUGCAGGAAAGCAUCACAAUUUUUUUUUUUUUUUUUUUUUUUUUUUUUUUUUUUUNGUCUAAUCAGAGCUGUAGCCACCAGCCUACACCAGAGCCACAGCAACGUGGGAUCUGAGCCGCUUCUGCAACCUACACCACAGCUCAGGGCAAUGCCGGAUCCUUAACCCACUGAGCAAGGCCAUGUUUCCUAGUCGGAUUCAUUAACCACUGUGCCACGACAGAACUCCUAGCAUCACAAUUAUUAAAUAAAAAGUAUAGCUCCUACGUAGGUAUUCUCCAAAGGAGGAAUAGCUUUAUAUAUAUAUAUAUAAAUAAGCAAUGAUGUUUCUGUGACCUCUCGUUAGUUCUUUGUUAAAAGAUCUGUGUUCCUAUUUUUUUUUCUCGUUGGUCACUUUUCCAUAUUUUGGCGGCUAUAUGUUCUUUACCUCUUUUGUUAAGCAUUGUUUUUCUCCCAACCUAGGAUACCCUAUAAUCCUUUAUCAGAGGUAUUAGCAAAGUAUGAAGUGUACAGGGGUCCUAAGGGCAACUAGUAGCAAUUAAAUGAAAGGCCUCUGUGAACAGGAAGUCUUUCAGCCUUUACAAAAAUGCAAAACACCUGAAGGCUUUUAUUUUGAUCCAUUUAUGAAAAGAAAACAAAGUAGUUCUAUGUCUGUAGUAAAUUACUUCUCUUUGUCUUCCCCAACACCGAUCUUGAGACAAAUGUUCUGUCAUGAGUUUUGUCCCUAAAGGUAAAAAAACAAUUUUCCUUAAUGUAUGUUAGCAAACAAGAGUGAUACCUGUCAGAGUGGCGAUCAUCAAACAUACCACAUGUAACAAAUGUUGGCGAGGAUGUGGAGAAAAGUGAAUCCUCCUACACUGUUGAUGGCAAUGUAAAUUGGUGCAGCCACUGUGGAAAGAAGUAUGGAGGCUCCUCAAAAAACUAAAAACUACCACAUGACCUAGAAAUUCCGCUCUGGGUAUAUAUUCAAAAACCCCCAAAACACUAAUUCAAAAAGAUGCAUGCGCCCCAAAUGUUCAUAGCAGCACUAUUUACAGCAGCUAAGAUAUGGAAGCAACCUAAGUGUCCAUCAACAGAUGAAUGGAUAAAGAAGAUAUGGUGCAUAUACAUACAUGUGUAUGUAUAUAUAUAUAUACACACGUAUGUAUAUGUGUGUAUAUAUAUAUAUGUACAAAGAAUUAUACUCAUCCAUAAAAAAAAUGAAAAUUUACCAUUUGCAACAACAGGGACAGAUUUAGAGGGUAUUGUGCUAAGUGAAGUAAGUCAGAGAAAGAAAUAUACUGUAUAUUAGCACUUAUGUGUGGAAUAAAAAAAUAAA
rnacentral:lncRNA from 1 species